rnacentral:rRNA from 1 species
GACAGAGGUGCCGAGCGUUAGGCGGAAUCACUGGGCUUAAAGCGCGUGUAGGCGGAUCGGCACGUCCGUGGCUGAAAGCCCCCGGCUCAACCGGGGAAGGGGCGCGGAUACGGCCGAUCUGGAGGGGGGUAGGGGGACCUGGAACUUACGGUGUAGCGGUGAAAUGCGUAGAUAUCGUAAGGAAGACCAGUGGCGAAGGCGGGUCUCUGGACAGUUCCUGACGCUGAGACACGAAGGCCAGGGGAGCAAACGGG